AGUGAACGCUGGCGGUAGGCCUAACACAUGCAAGUCGAACGGCAGCACAGUAAGAGCUUGCUCUUACGGGUGGCGAGUGGCGGACGGGUGAGGAAUACAUCGGAAUCUACUUUUUCGUGGGGGAUAACGUAGGGAAACUUACGCUAAUACCGCAUACGACCUACGGGUGAAAGCAGGGGAUCUUCGGACCUUGCGCGACUGAAUGAGCCGAUGUCGGAUUAGCUAGUUGGCGAGGUAAAGGCCCACCAAGGCGGCGAUCCGUAGCUGGUCUGAGAGGAUGAUCAGCCACACUGGAACUGAGACACGGUCCAGACUCCUACGGGAGGCAGCAGUGGGGAAUAUUGGACAAUGGGCGCAAGCCUGAUCCAGCCAUACCGCGUGGGUGAAGAAGGCCUUCGGGUUGUAAAGCCCUUUUGUUGGGAAAGAAAAGCAGCAGGUUAAUACCCCGCUGUUCUGACGGUACCCAAAGAAUAAGCACCGGCUAACUUCGUG
rnacentral:rRNA from 1 species